rnacentral:rRNA from 1 species
UACGUAGGGUGCAAGCGUUGUCCGGAUUUAUUGGGCGUAAAGAGCUCGUAGGCGGUUUGGUAAGUCGGGUGUGAAACCCCCAGGCUCAACCUGGGGCCGCCAUCCGAUACUGCCAUGACUUGAGUCCGGUAGGGGACCAUGGAAUUCCUGGUGUAGCGGUGAAAUGCGCAGAUAUCAGGAGGAACACCAGUAGCGAAGGCGGUGGUCUGGGCCGGAACUGACGCUGAGGAGCGAAAGCGUGGGGAGCGAACAGG